rnacentral:rRNA from 1 species
GAUGAACGCUGGCGGCGUGCCUAAUACAUGCAAGUCGAGCGAACAGAUGAGUAGCUUGCUCCUCUGACGUUAGCGGCGGACGGGUGAGUAACACGUGGAUAACCUACCUAUAAGACUGGGAUAACUUCGGGAAACCGGUGCUACUACCGGAUAAUAUAUUGAACCGCAUGGUUCCAUAGUGAAAGACGGUUUUGCUGUCACUUAUAGAUGGAUCCGCGCCGCAUUAGCUAGUUGGUAAGGUAACGGCUUACCAAGGCAACGAUGCGUAGCCGACCUGAGAGGGUGAUCGGCCACACUGGAACUGAGACACGGUCCAGACUCCUACGGGAGGCAGCAGUAGGGAAUCUUCCGCAAUGGGCGAAAGCCUGACGGAGCAACGCCGCGUGAGUGAUGAAGGUCUUCGGAUCGUAAAACUCUGUUAUUAGGGAAGAACAAAUGUGUAAGUAACUAUGCACGUCUUGACGGUACCUAAUCAGAAAGCCACGGCUAACUACGUG